rnacentral:rRNA from 1 species
CAUGCAGUCGUGGGGCAGCAGGGGUAGCAAUACCCGCUGGCGACCGGCAAACGGGUGCGGAACACGUACGCAACCUUCCUUUAACUGGAGAAUAGCCCCUCGAAAGAGGGAUUAAUACUCCGUAACAUAUACAUGUGGCAUCACAAGUAUAUUAUAGCUCCGGCGGUUAAAGAUGGGCGUGCGCCUGAUUAGAUAGUUGGCGGGGUAACGGCCCACCAAGUCUGCGAUCAGUAACUGGUGUGAGAGCACGACCAGUCACACGGGCACUGAGACACGGGCCCGACUCCUACGGGAGGCAGCAGUAAGGAAUAUUGGUCAAUGGACGCAAGUCUGAACCAGCCAUGCCGCGUGGAGGAUUAAGGCCCUCUGGGUUGNAAACUCCUUUUAUCUGGGAAGAAAUGCAUUUUUUCUAAAGUGCUU